rnacentral:tRNA from 1 species
UCUUUGAUGGUCUAGGGGUCAUGAUUUCCGCUUGUCAUCAAUGACAAUUCGCGGGAGACCGGGGUUCAAAUCCCCGUCAGAGAG